rnacentral:lncRNA from 1 species
AAACCAUUUGAUUAGCAGACGUCGGCGAAGUGUCGGCAACCAUGUUCAUGAUGGCUGCAGACGCCAAUGUGCCGAGUCCAUUUAGAUCAUUGUCGACAGUGCUUCGAAAGAUUUCGGCAUGUUAUUAACAUUAAUCAUUGUUCAAAAAAAUACAAACGCGUUUCUUCAAAUAAGGAGAACUUAACGCAUCGGCGUUUUGUCACAGGGCUCACCGGAUGCUGACGAAGAAACUAAGAGUAAUCUUCCAUUAGCACCAGAGGGAAUGAACAAGGCGGCUCCAGUUCCUGGCAUUGCUGAAUCUGUGGGAGACAUCAAAAGACGCUAUGAAGACACGGCACAGGUCCUGUUCCAGGAACGUCGCGAGAAACAGCGACCUUCGAGUUUUCUUUCUUAUGGAGAGACGAAGAAGUGCUACGCGUACAGUGGCGCGGGAAAACCGUAUGUCGACGUAAAGGAAGGAGUUCGUGCUGACCAGCAGUCAUUUCAGAGUCAGAUUUGCAGCAUCAUGUAGUGAUGGCUUAACAGUGCAGUCGUCACAGUGACCAAAAAUUGAGGCCUGAAGGCAGCAUAUGAUUCUUUUAUCCUUUUUUUUUUCUGAAUGGGAGCAUGUUACUGACACAGUUCCGCCCAUUGUGAUCCAGGGCCAGCAGCUUUUAGCAGGCCCAAUCUAGUCUUUCUCUUGGAACUGUUCACUUGAUGCUUUAAGUUUGCAGGCCCAUCUCUUCAACUCAUGCAAACCAUGCAGGCCUCGAAUCGACACCAUUGUGUGUUUGGUGACCUGUUCUUACAGAUAUGCAAACACUUCAUUGCUGCAACAGACACUUAUGUGCAUAAGGCGGUGGCACUGUGUUUUCUGCAUAUAAAGACUUUUCCCAAGCACCUUUUACAACAUUUUCUGCACAUGGUAUGUUAGUAUUCUUUAGUGUUGAAAACACAGACGCAACUCUUUUUAGCCUCAUGAUCCUCGAUUUGUGUCCUUUUAAAUAGAUCAAAGACUGUGUUUCUUUCUGUAUGUGUUACAGUGCUGAAAGGAAGGUGAUCAUGCCCAUUUGUUUUUCUUUUGAGAUGCUUUCUGUACCGAAAUGGAACCACUGCGAAAUGAACUGCAAGGACCAAACGUAAACACCACAGUUUGCGAUCCGAGUGCACUGGUCUGUGGCAAUGUUGGAAUUGGGGCAUACGCGGCAUGCCCAUGUGAAGUCGUGUUACUGGUGCGCCUAUGGGCACGAGUACAACAUGUUCCUUAAAUCCUACACCACCACACGACAGUGUCACCUUGAUUUAAGAACAGUGUGACGUUUACCUGAUAGUAUAAGAUGCUGAAAUGUGUAUUGUUCUGGUAUUGUGUGUGUGGUGCACAAGCUCUGUAAAACAUGUCGCUACUGGGGUUGGUCGAAAACAAAAAACAAACAUUAUUGUGUAUGCUUGUCCCUUUGUGCAGAGUGGAAUAGUGAAAAAUGUGGGCUGGAAAAAAGAAUGUGAAGCUAUUGCUUCUUUGUAAUACACGCACAUGUUGGUGUCAUUGUAGUAAGCAGCAAUGUGAAAAUGUGUUGCCUGUGCUUGAAAACAAAUAAUGAAAUUAGUGUGGCUAGUUGCCCCUUUUCUAUGAAAUUGCAUUUUAUGUGCAGGGUACUGAGGAAAAUGGCUCAAAGCACAGUUAAUGUGCAAUGCCAAAAUUCGUGAAUUAUCCAAAAGUAAUCCUUAAGGUGCCAAUAAGCUAAUAUGAUUGCAUUUGUAUUUGCCUCAAGCGGCUCACAAAGUUUUUCAGCAGAAUGGUCCACAAUAACCAGCUUCUCCAGUAUCGCCACCAUGAUGCACAGGCAACAACAAAAAAAUGCUAUCAAAUUGCAGUUUUAUGCACAAUAUAGUGUGAGGGGACAAGGUGAUGCAUUAUUGUGAAAGAGCUGCUAAUCUUUUACAAUGAUGGUUCACCAAUUGUGGAAUUAGGAUAUUAAUUUGCUGCACGGAACUUUAGUCAAGACAUCUGUCAAGAGCAUGCCAGCUGCCUGCUCUCCCUUCUCAUUUCCGCCAAUUCUUAAGGAGCCCCCUCGGCAGGCCCUGUUGGCAAUUUUGGUGUACACUAAGAGUUGUGAAGGGCCAUCCAGGGAGUGCUCUAGCAGAGUAAUCUUUAGAAAGAGUUUAGUAGUAGCCGAAGAUGGAAGCAAAGAGAUGUUAUAAAGCAGUGGCCUGAGGAGGCAAGCUAAGAAAGCUCUCUCACCUCGACAAGUGCCCCCAUGCAGCAUUCAUAUGCAUCCUUGUCUUUUGUCGUAACCCACGACUCCCCCCCCUCGGUCAACCUCCCUUCUUGUUGCAUGGUGCGUUUCCAGAGAAUUCUGCAUGCUCCGCACUUAACAGGAGUCCCCCCAGAUUUCUUCUCACUGCUGUAGGCUCUUUGUACACUACAGACAGUGUGCAUGUGACGUGAAAGCACCAUGCGUGUGAUGGCAUCUUGUUUACAGCCGCAGUGACUGUCUCGAGAAGAAAAGUGUGCAAGCUUUAUGUUAGAAUUUUCAAUUCUUCUCGCAGUGUACAUCAGCAUAACAUUUUGCAGACAAAAUCACCAUCGCGUGAUUAUGCAUUGCAGUUGUCUGUUCACAAUGCAAAAAGCUGAUGAGGGGCCUUUUAAAGGAAUGUUUGCCUUGGUGAAUUUAUUAAUGUGGAGGUUGAAAUAUACUUUUGCUGCUAAUGCGUGAAAUGACAAUGGAAACACCAUUUAUUUCUUCCUAAGGUGCAGAAUAAUGCAAGCCUGUUAUUUUUCUCCCGAAAUGUACGUAAGUUUUUCAGAAUCCACUUUGACAAUAUUACUCAUGCACACAAAUCAGCAUUGUCUUUUCUAUUAUGCAGAGAAAUAGCACUCUAGUUCUAGUGCAACUUGAGAGAAAAAAGAAGACAACUAGUGGUCAUGAUGGAACUUGGGCACGUUUGCAUAAUUUUUAGCUCCCUCUUUUGUGAAUGUAUUAAAAUCUAAUUAAAAAAAUUAACUGUGGGUGAAGUAUAGGAAAUGCCACAGCGAUUAUUCCUGCAUCGAGCAAAGCUCAAUAAUGCAUGCACUUUACAUUUUAUCUAUGCUACACCAUAUCGAAGCUGCAAUGUAUGCUUCAGAAGAACCAGACACAUGCUAUGAUUAACAGCAGGUAAAGAAAAAAGGCUUCAGCCUGAAGCCAGUAUUUCAACAAAGGGACUUGUAUUUUGUCAGAGGGUUUCAACAAGUCCCUUUGUCGGAAUGUCUGUUCCAGGCUACAGCUUUCCUUGUUCACCCAAUGUUAAUUGCGUCGAGUCGCCACUUCGUGUAACUGCUUUGUCUUGUUUGUAUCGGCAACAUGCAAGUCGCACAAACUGCUGCUCGUCUUUCAGUUUGAUCUAUGCAUGACUUAAAUGUGCUUUCCAGCUUGCAUGUGGCAAUAUGUGAACUUCCAUCUUACCACAAGGCUGUUGUACCUUUAGCUAAAGCAAUAUCAGAACCUUUGACUGGCACAGAACCUGUGCCAAAUAUUUAGCACCCGCAUAUAGGAAACUGGGUAACAGAAGGGUGUGUCGGCCUCAUUCCAGAGCUGUGCAUGUGGGAUCUCCAUUUAAUGUGUCCGAUUCAUAUAAAUCACCUGUACCUAAUAGUACUUCCAUACUUUCCUGCAUGAAUGCUGGAAAUUUUCACAAUUUAUAGGAUAAAAAGGCCGGGAAUGUAUCUGCAUUUGAGGCAAACUUGCAGGGUACAGUGUAGCAAGUUAAGGCAGUGCUCCUUUUUUUUUCUUUAACAUACUAAAUUUGGUUUUCUGUGCACACUUGCAGCUUCAGUCACAAUAGCUUAUAAGGAAUUCACAGCAGAUGCCAUAACAGGAAGUCGUACAUGAGGCAACCACAAUUGUGCUGGUCAUGUGCUUCGUGCUAGGUCUCUGGAUUUGUGGGUUUUCAUUGAAAUUUUCAAAGUGUGUACUUGUCCUGCUGCAUAGGCUCAUAAUAGAAGUUCUCGAAGUUCACUUUGAUGUAGCAGGUGUGUCUCGUUUAUGUGCACCACUCUUUAUAAGGUGCACCUUGUGCCUUCUUUUUUCUUUUCAUUUGCGGUUUGACUGUAUUCUUGUUGACAGCAAUAGGCAUUCAAAAAUCUUUUAACCUUAUCCACAAUGCAAAAACACAUUUACAAUUUGUCCGAAUCCUGCUUUUAUGGCUUGGAAAACAGCAGGAAAUGCUUAGCUCUUUGGAAGUCAGAGGAAGCUUGUGUAAAGCAGCAAAAAUCUUGUCACAUUAUUACAAGUUCUCAGCUUGUCAUCUUUGUUUUGGCACUGGCUGUGCUAUCAAUGCACACCAUGGCCUUUUGCUUGUAUUAGAAGCAGUGGCCGAGAUAUUUAAAGGUCUUUUCAUAUAAGUUGUCGCAGUGUGUUACGACCCCGGACCUUCCAGUCAAAAACAGUGGCACACAUUGAAGCAAAAUUUGUCUUUGAAGAGCACAGUAGAUGUCCAAGGCUACACUGUAAGCAGGCAAGAGUGCAUCGUAAAAAAAUUUUGAACAGGGAACCUGUUCAAGUAUUGAGCCAGUGGAGAUGAAAAUGCAGUAGUUUAAGGGGACACUAAAGGGAAACAUUAAUCCAGUUUAUACCGACACUGUAUGCUUUAAAAACUAUAUUUUUAUUAAUCUCAUGGUAAGUGGUUGAUCGCUAGAAGAAAAAAAAUGGAGGCCAAAGUUAUAUUUAAACAUUUGGUACCAAAAGUCCAAUGCUGUUAUGUCAAUGUAAUAUCACCAAUUUGAAGGUAUUUCGUCGCAUUUGGGCUGUUGUGGUUCAGUAAAAGCUUUCUUAGCCUGCCAAGUUUAGUCUAUGGCUCCUUUAGAAUGUAAUAUAGUCAGUCUUUAUCGAUUAAGUAGGCCCGAGCAGACGCUGUCAAAAUCUACGGUGUCGCGAUGAGCUGGUGUGGGAACUUCACGGCGGCAUUGCCACCUGUCUUUUGUUUUUUGCAACCUUUAUGGCGUACCAAACCACCUUUCAUGGUAAGGGUGGCUUAUUUUGGAAUUGAAGAAAGGUAAUUUAAUAAUGCAGUGCAAAUUAACUUUCUCUUGAGUUUUCUUUUAGUGUUCACUGCCUGUUCUAUGCAGUUCACUCACCUCCAAACUGUUGUGGCUUACAUUGGCACUCUUAAUGUGCUAGCAGAUUUUGCUAGUAAAUUUCUUUGAUAUGCUUGCUGUGUGGACGUAGCCACAUAGUUGUAGCACAGCACAUACUAUUGAACACAAUGUGCACUGUAAUACAUCAUCGUAGCAUCACUGUUCAUGCGGUGUUUGUAUUGUGCAAUGCAGUACACAUUUAUCAAAACCUACAUGCCAGAAUGCGGUGUCUGUGCAUGUAGUUUGCUAAUAAUGGUAGGGUCACUUGUUCAGCAGCACAUGAAAAAAAAGCAGUACAUUAAAAAUGAGUGAGUUUGAGUUGCUGUAGCACUCAGUGACUGAUUCAGUAAUGCGAGUCAUGGAGCUGUUCAGUGUACGAUGUAUGGUGCUUUAGGUGCAUGUUAAAAAUCCACGUGUGGUCAAAAAUAAUGUAACCCCCAUUAUAGUAUCCCUCGUAACCCCACUGUGCAAGUUCCAAGGUGUUAAACCCUGCCAUUUUUUUUACUUUUUUUGUACAUGCAGACUUAUAAGAAGAGAGCAGUAGAUGGCACUAUAGUAGAAGAUACAAAGCGCUUGACAACUGCCGCUUAUUCUCUGUCAGUAUAUAGCUACAUCGCAGUCAAACCUAGCUAUUUACGGAGCAUCCAGGCUACCAAAAAAAAAGAAAUAGUGAUCUAUGACUGCAUGAAUCCCCCAAGUUUUUUCUAUAUCUAGCUUCCUUGAACGUUUCUUUUAUAACUACUUCUUGUGCAUGAAAACCUGUUGCCUUGCUGACCUUCAAGUAAAACGCCCAUGCAAUGCGUGGUGCAGCUGCCUGGCAUGAUGGUGGACAUCUGCAUCAGCAAAGCACAUCACACUCACCCCAAAGUUGAAGGGGCAAGUAGGUACAUUAUUUUGCAAUACUUUGUCAGUUAAUCAGGAACACUUAAAUGGCAAAACAACUCAUCGGUGUCAUGAACCUGGAUCCAGCUUCCGGUACUUUCAUUUCUCUUUGUAAACCAAGUGUAAUGUGUCCAACCAGUCGGUUUUCUUUGACCCAAUGUUUCUGCGCCAACGGUGCUCCUUCCUCGGGGGUUGACAACAGAUCGGAAGCAGUGCAGCUUUAAACAAAGUACAAAAUAAGCUUGAGAAGGAGCUAAGGAGUGAUAGAACGAGAAAUUAUAGGUGUAACGUUAAGAGAUGGUAAGACGGCAGUGUGGAUUAGAGAGCUAAUGGCAGAGCCGAUAUUCUAGUUGAAAUUAAGAGAAAGAAAUGAAGUUGGGCAGCUAUUGUAAAGCGUGGAGCAGAUGGCAGGUGAUCUAUUAGAGUUACAGAAUGGGUGCCAAGAGAAGGGAAGUGCAGUCAAGCAUUGCAGAGAAGUAAGUGGUGUGAUGAAUUGGGAAAUUCGUGCAAGCAUAAGGGGUCAGUUGGCACAAGGUGGGGGUAAUUGGAGAUCAAUGAGACAGCCCUUUGUCCUAUAUAAUAUCAAGUAGGCUAAUGAUGAACUACAAAGAAAGCUACUGAGGGCAGGCUUUUAGCACUGUCUGGCACAGUCUUAUUUUUUUCCAUUAUAUUUUAGAUGAGCAAGCAAGGCAAAUGAGGGUGCAUAUAUAAGGGGGAAGCAGCAGUGGUGACAUGGUUGGGGAUACCAUUGCCAAGACGUUACCUCAUCUGUUUCCCAUUAUGAAGUACAGGCCAUGAACAUACACUAGUGAGUGAACGAAAGAAAUUGUGCUUUGUGAAAAAUUCAUGUGCACUUAAAACGCCAUCGGUUGCCGUUUUCAAUAUUGUCCUAUAGUAUGUUUGCUUUUUACACUAGAAGGACAAGGGAUAAGAUUUUCUUCAUUGCUGCUGCCACAGCUCCACUUUUUACUUUGUUCAUUUCAUGGUGCUUAUUGUUGCCUAUAUUAUCGAGUUUGUGUGCUAGUACAUUUUGCUUGUGUGUGUUGUAUGUGUGCGCUUUUCUUGCUUUUUUUUUUCUCAUUCUCCUCAAUUAUUUCCUAUUGCGCCUGGAUUAGCAUGUAAAGCCUGUUGCUAGACUAAUCCCUCUUGUUAUCCUUAACUUUUCUGACUCACAAGUGCAUUUUGUGACAUACUGGUUGAUGGGUAUGGUUUCAUUGUGAUACAUUUUUUGAAUAUGCAAGCUUUCUAGGCUAUGGGUAGCCUACUUGAUAAAAAUAAUGUGUUGGUGAGUGUUCAAGAGGCUAUUGUAUAAGGCUAGGGGUACGAGGCGACACAGCGACUUCUUCAGAAUAGUCUAGCUCAGAAGACAGCAAAUUGCAAAAUAUACAUAUUUUUGUCCACUAGUGUACAUGGCAGCACAUGACAAGAAGAACAGGAAGAUGCGGUGUCAGACAGCGGUUCAUCAGCCACUGUUUCUCCUUGUGAGCGUGGUUUAUAUUGUGCAGUGCAUUGACCACGAAGCAUGCUGUUUGCACAUUAUUUAGUUUUGUUCCAAAAUCACUGAAUGAUUAGAUGAACGUCGCCACUUUGUGAGCUGAUUUCUAUGCAAAACGUUAAUAAACCUUUACAUUAGUUCAA